CCUACGGGAGGCAGCAGUUGGGAAUUUUGCACAAUGGACGAAAGUCUGAUGCAGCAACGCCGCGUGCGGGAUGAAGAUUUUCGGAUUGUAAACCGCUUUUAUUUGGGAGUAACUGUUUGAACGUACCAAAUGAAUAAGUACCGGCUAACUCCGUGCCAGCAGCCGCGGUAAUACGGAGGGUGCAAACGUUGUCCGGAAUUACUGGGCGUAAAGCGCAUGUAGGUGGUCUAAUAAGUGAACGAUUAAAUACCGACGCUUAACGUCGGAAAGGUUAUUCAUACUGUUAGACUCGAGGAAGACAGGGGCAGAUGGAACUUUAAGUGUAGGAGUGAUAUCCGUAGAUAUUUAAAGGAACACCAAUGGCGAAGGCAGUCUGCUGGGUCUUUUCUGACACUGAGAUGCGAAAGUGUGGGGAGCAAACGGGAUUAGAUACCCCGGUAGUCCACACUGUAAACGAUGCUCACUAGGUCUUGGAGGGUAUCGACCCCCUUUUGGACCGAAGCUAACGCGUUAAGUGAGCCGCCUGGGGAGUACGAACGCAAGUUUAAAACUCAAAGGAAUUGACGG
rnacentral:rRNA from 1 species